GGAUCCAGACUUUGAUUAUGGCUCACGAUGAACGCUAGCUACAGGCUUAACACAUGCAAGUCGAGGGGAAACGACAUCGAAAGCUUGCUUUUGAUGGGCGUCGACCGGCGCACGGGUGAGUAACGCGUAUCCAACCUGCCCACCACUUGGGGAUAACCUUGCGAAAGUAAGACUAAUACCCAAUGAUAUCCCACGAAGGCAUCUGAAUGAGAUUAAAGAUUUAUCGGUGAUGGAUGGGGAUGCGUCUGAUUAGCUUGUUGGCGGGGUAACGGCCCACCAAGGCAACGAUCAGUUGGGGUUCUGAGAGGAAGGUCCCCCACAUUGGAACUGAGACACGGUCCAAACUCCUACGGGAGGCAGCAGUGAGGAAUAUUGGUCAAUGGGCGAGAGUCUGAACCAGCCAAGUAGCGUGCAGGACGACGGCCCUAUGGGUUGUAAACUGCUUUUAUAAGGGAAUAAAGUGGGUCACGUGUGACUUUUUGCAUGUACCUUAUGAAUAAGGACCGGCUAAUUCCGUGCCAGCAGCCGCGGUAAUACGGAAGGUCCGGGCGUUAUCCGGAUUUAUUGGGUUUAAAGGGAGCGUAGGCCGGAGAUUAAGCGUGUUGUGAAAUGUAGAGGCUCAACAUCUGCACUGCAGCGCGAACUGGUUUUCUUGAGUACGCACAACGUGGGCGGAAUUCGUGGUGUAGCGGUGAAAUGCUUAGAUAUCACGAAGAACUCCGAUUGCGAAGGCAGCUCACGGGAGCGCAACUGACGCUGAAGCUCGAAAGUGCGGGUAUCGAACAGGAUUAGAUACCCUGGUAGUCCGCACGGUAAACGAUGGAUGCCCGCUGUUGGUCUGAAUAGGUCAGCGGCCAAGCGAAAGCAUUAAGCAUCCCACCUGGGGAGUACGCCGGCAACGGCGCAACUCAAAUGAAUUGACGG
rnacentral:rRNA from 2 species